CCUACGGGGGGCUGCAGUGGGGAAUAUUGGACAAUGGGGGCAACCCUGAUCCAGCCAUGCCGCGUGUGUGAAGAAGGCCCUCGGGUUGUAAAGCACUUUCAGUGAGGAAGAACGCCUGGUGGUUAAUACCCAUCAGGAAAGACAUCACUCACAGAAGAAGCACCAGCUAACUCCGUGCCAGCAGCCGCGGUAAUACGGAGGGUGCGAGCGUUAAUCGGAAUUACUGGGCGUAAAGCGCGCGUAGGUGGCUUGAUAAGCCGGUUGUGAAAGCCCCGGGCUCAACCUGGGAACGGCAUCCGGAACUGUCAAGCUAGAGUGCAGGAGAGGAAGGUAGAAUUCCCGGUGUAGCGGUGAAAUGCGUAGAGAUCGGGAGGAAUACCAGUGGCGAAGGCGGCCUUCUGGACUGACACUGACACUGAGGUGCGAAAGCGUGGGUAGCAAACAGGAUUAGAUACCCCUGUAGUC
rnacentral:rRNA from 1 species